CAACUGGCUUUAAGUGGCUCAGCUGCUUUUCUGCAUUUGAGUGACAGUGGCAUUAAGGCAGCUCAGAAACCCAACUAUUCAUCUUUUCUGGGUAGAGCAGCUGUCUUUCAAUAGCAGCUAGAGGAAUGCAGCUCUCCUUUAUGACACUGAUGUAAGGCAAGCUAAGACAGGAAGGAUAAUAGGUUCAUGCAUAGAGGAUUACAUUAUUUCCUUUACCUAGACAACUGACUAAGGAUGGACGUGUUAGUACCAGAGAAGAAAACACAUGAAGAGAAAGAAGAUUUGCAACAGAAUCAUCAGAAACCUGCAAACUGCAAGAAAUUGCUUAGGAAUUGCUGCUUGGUAAAACGAUUUUUUGCCUGGAAAAGUUUGAGCUCUAAAGGAUGAAGAUGGGUUUGCAAUUGAUACUGUGGUGGCUCAUUCCCACUUAGUCAUUCCUUUACGCAAAUCAGAUUCCUCAUUGGUUGUUUUAAAAUACCUCACACUUGUGAAGUUGUGUAACAGUUGUCAUUAGGCAUUUAAGAUUAAAUACUUAAAAAGCAAUCAAAAUGUGUUUGCUCAUAUUUUAAAAAAAUAAUGAAAACUGUAAAUAAUUAGUUAUUUGGCUAUUCGCUGCUGUCAUAACGGUUUGUGGCAGGAAAUACUGUAUGUGCAGUUGAUCUUUUCUUUAAAGUAGAAUUUAUUUAUUUUCAACAAUUUGUUUUUCAUAUUGUAGGUCAUUUGCAUGAUCUUGAAACUGAGUUUGUCAACAUGUUCUUUUAACUUUAUAGGAUUAAUUAUACUUUCAGAGACAAUUUCCAUUUAUGAAUUGGAAGCAUGCAGAUAAAUUCUUGACUUACUGUUAUGUUCAGAUGAUUUAACACAAUUUUCAGAAUGAAUAAUCUUAACUCCUAUGGUAAAACCUUAGAAUGUCACUGCACUGGGGUUGUCUUCCUAUCUUCCUGCUUCAACAUCUGUCAUAUGAGUAAGAGAAGAAUGUUGUAAUAUAAAUACUGUAAAGAUGGUUACACUCAACCCUUUUCUGUGAAGUAUUAACAUAGCAUGAUUUUCAUGCAGCAGUGAUCACUCCGAAAGAAGAGCAAGAGAAUAAAAAAUGGUGUAUUGGAUUUCA
rnacentral:lncRNA from 1 species